GAAUCAAGCAAAGAACAAUCGAAGCAUUGAGAGAUCCCAAGAUCAGGCAGAAGAUGUCUGAACAUCCCCGUACUCAUAGUGAUUUGAUCAAAGCAAAGAUUGGCUCUUCAAUUCAACGCAUUUGGAAAGAACGUUUAAAGCUUAAA